rnacentral:rRNA from 1 species
CAGCCGCCGCGGUAAUACAGAGGGUGCGAGCGUUAAUCGGAUUUACUGGGCGUAAAGCGUGCGUAGGCGGCUUCUUAAGUCGGAUGUGAAAUCCCUGAGCUUAACUUAGGAAUUGCAUUCGAUACUGGGAAGCUAGAGUGUGGGAGAGGAUGGUAGAAUUCCAGGUGUAGCGGUGAAAUGCGUAGAGAUCUGGAGGAAUACCGAUGGCGAAGGCAGCCAUCUGGCCUAACACUGACGCUGAGGUACGAAAGCAUGGGGAGCAAACAGGAUUAGAUACCCCUGUAGUCCAUGUCUCUUAUAC